ACCUGAAAAUAGCUCCCCUCAGGUAAAUGUAUCUGAAAAUAGAGCCCCUCAGGUAAACAUACCUGAAAAUAGAGCCCCUCAGGUAAACAUACCUGAAAAUAGAGCCCCUCAGGUAAACAUACCUGAAAAUAGAGCCCCUCAGGUAAACAUACCUGAAAAUAGAGCCCCUCAGGUAAACAUACCUGAAAAUAGAGCCCCUCAGGUAAACAUACCUGAAAAUAGAGCCCCUCAGGUAAACAUACCUGAAAAUAGAGCCCCUCAGGUAAAUGUAUCUGAAAAUAGAGCCCCUCAGGUAAACAUACCUGAAAAUAGAGCCCCUCAGGUAAAUGUAUCUGAAAAUAGUGCCACUCAGGUAAAUGUAUCUGAAAAUAGAGCCCCUCAGGUAAACAUACCUAAAAAUAGA